rnacentral:rRNA from 1 species
UAAUAGUGUAUAUUAAAGUUGUUGCAGUUAAAAAGCUCGUAGUUGAAUGUUGGUGUCGAACGAGCGGUCAGCUUCGGCUGUACUGCUCUCUCGACUCCUUCCUUCUGUGGACUACGUCGCACUUUACUGUGUGGCGCUAGGACGCAGAUCGUUUACUGUGAAAAAAUUAGAGUGUUCAAAGCAGGCCGUACGCUUGAAUACAUUAGCAUGGAAUAAUGGAAUAGGACGUCGGGCUUAUUUUGUUGGUUCUAGGACCGUCGUAAUGAUUAAUAGGGACAGUUGGGGCCGUUUAUAUUCCGUAGUCAGAGGUGAAAUUCUUGGAUUUACGGAAGAUAAACUACUGCGAAAGCAUUCGGCAAGGAUGUUUNCGUUA